CAUGGCACCGUAACUUCGGGAGAAGGUGCGCCUCUUGGUGUGGUCACGUGCGUGACUGAGCAUCGAGGGGUCGCAGUAACCUGGCCGCUGCGACUGUUUAUCAAAAACACAGCACUCUGCAAACACGAAAGUGGACGUAUAGGGUGUGACGCCUGCCCGGUGCUGGAAGGUUAAUUGAUGGGGUCAGCCGCAAGGCGAAGCUCUUGAUCGAAGCCCCAGUAAACGGCGGCCGUAACUAUAACGGUCCUAAGGUAGCGAAAUUCCUUGUCGGGUAAGUUCCGACCUGCACGAAUGGCGUAACGACAGCGGCGCUGUCUCCACCCGAGACUCAGUGAAAUUGAAAUCGCUGUGAAGAUGCAGCGUUCCCGCGGCAAGACGGAAAGACCCCGUGAACCUUUACUAUAGCUUUACACUGAACGUUGAGUUCUUCUGUGUAGGAUAGGUGGGAGGCUAUGAAACCAGGACGCUAGUUCUGGUGGAGCCAUCCUUGAAAUACCACCCUGAAGUGCUUGACGUUCUAACCUAGGUCCGUAAUCCGGAUCGGGGACCGUGUAUGGUGGGUAGUUUGACUGGGGCGGUCUCCUCCCAAAGAGUAACGGAGGAGCACGAAGGUACGCUCAGCGCGGUCGGACAUCGCGCACUGUGUGCAAAGGCAUAAGCGUGCUUGACUGCGAGAUCGACGGAUCAAGCAGGUACGAAAGUAGGUCUUAGUGAUCCGGUGGUUCUGUAUGGAAGGGCCAUCGCUCAACGGAUAAAAGGUACUCCGGGGAUAACAGGCUGAUACCGCCCAAGAGUUCAUAUCGACGGCGGUGUUUGGCACCUCGAUGUCGGCUCAUCACAUCCUGGGGCUGUAGCCGGUCCCAAGGGUAUGGCUGUUCGCCAUUUAAAGUGGUACGCGAGCUGGGUUCAGAACGUCGUGAGACAGUUCGGUCCCUAUCUGUCGUGGGCGUUGGAGAUUUGAGGGGGGCUGCUCCUAGUACGAGAGGACCGGAGUGGACGUUCCGCUGGUGUUCGGGUUGUCAUGCCCACGGCAUUGCCCGGUAGCUACGAACGGAAGUGAUAACCGCUGAAAGCAUCUAAGCGGGAAGCACGCCCCAAGAUGAGAUCUCCCGAGAGCUUGACUCUCCUAAAGGCACCAUCAAGACUAGGUGGUUGAUAGGCACGGUGUGGAAGUGCAGCAAUGCAUUGAGCUUACGUGUACUAAUGAGCCGUGAGGCUUGAUC
rnacentral:rRNA from 1 species